UACGUAGGGGGCAAGCGUUGUCCGGAUUUAUUGGGCGUAAAGAGCGUGUAGGCGGUCUUACAGGUCAGCUGUGAAAACUCGAGGCUCAACCUCGAGACGUCGGUUGAAACCGUAAGGCUAGAGUCCGGAAGAGGAGAGUGGAAUUCCCGGUGUAGCGGUGAAAAUGCGCAGAUAUCGGGAAGAACACCCGUGGCGAAGGCGGCUCUCUGG
rnacentral:rRNA from 1 species